rnacentral:rRNA from 1 species
UACGUAGGUGGCAAGCGUUGUCCGGAAUUAUUGGGCGUAAAGCGCGCGCAGGCGGUCCUUUAAGUCUGAUGUGAAAGCCCACGGCUCAACCGUGGAGGGUCAUUGGAAACUGGGGGACUUGAGUACAGAAGAGAAGAGUGGAAUUCCACGUGUAGCGGUGAAAUGCGCAGAUAUCAGGAAGAACACCCGUGGCGAAGGCGGCUCUCUGGGACGGUACUGACGCUGAGACGCGAAAGCGUGGGGAGCGAACAGG